rnacentral:rRNA from 1 species
GACGAACGCUGGCGGCGUGCUUAACACAUGCAAGUCGAACGGAAAGGCCCUGCUUGCAGGGUACUCGAGUGGCGAACGGGUGAGUAACACGUGGGUGAUCUGCCCUGCACUUCGGGAUAAGCCUGGGAAACUGGGUCUAAUACCGGAUAGGAGCCAUUUUUAGUGUGAUGGUUGGAAAGUUUUUUCGGUGUAGGAUGAGCUCGCGGCCUAUCAGCUUGUUGGUGGGGUAAUGGCCUUCCAAGGCGGCGACGGGUAGCCGGCCUGAGAGGGUGGACGGCCACAUUGGGACUGAGAUACGGCCCAGACUCCUACGGAAGGCAGCAGUGGGGAAUAUUGCACAAUGGGCGCAAGCCUGAUGCAGCGACGCCGCGUGGGGGAUGACGGCCUUCGGGUUGUAAACUCCUUUCGCUAGGGACGAAGCUUUUUGUGACGGUACCUAGAUAAGAAGCACCGGCUAACUACGUG